GAUGAACGCUGGCGGCGUGCCUAAUACAUGCAAGUCGAGCGAACGGACGAGAAGGUUGCUUUUCUGAUGUUAGCGGCGGACGGGUGAGUAACACGUGGAUAACCUACCUAUAAGACUGGGAUAACUUCGGGAAACCGGAGCUAAUACCGGAUAAUAUUUUGAACCGCAUGGUUCAAAAGUGAAAGACGGUCUUGCUGUCACUUAUAGAUGGAUCCGCGCUGCAUUAGCUAGUUGGUAAGGUAACGGCUUACCAAGGCAACGAUGCAUAGCCGACCUGAGAGGGUGAUCGGCCACACUGGAACUGAGACACGGUCCAGACUCCUACGGGAGGCAGCAGUAGGGAAUCUUCCGCAAUGGGCGAAAGCCUGACGGAGCAACGCCGCGUGAGUGAUGAAGGUCUUCGGAUCGUAAAACUCUGUUAUUAGGGAAGAACAUAUGUGUAAGUAACUGUGCACAUCUUGACGGUACCUAAUCAGAAAGCCACGGCUAACUACGUG
rnacentral:rRNA from 1 species